CAAGCAAUAUUUUAUCACAGAAUUUUGGCUUUGGGUGCCGAAGGUAGGAGCUCGAAUCUCCUUUGCUUGA
rnacentral:tRNA from 1 species